AAAAUUUUAAGUUAAAAAAACUUUAAACCUUCAAAGUUUAAAAUAAUUGAAAAAUUAAACAAUUAAAUUUUA
rnacentral:tRNA from 1 species